GAAAUGAGUCAAAAACUAUGUAUCCACAUACAUAUAACAAAGUUUACAAUAACCACAUUAUAAUAAUCUAUAUAUAUAUAAAGGUUUUGUCCACUUGUAGGACCGAGUUAACAACAAAACCACUGGACCGAAUGCCCCCAAAUUUGGUCACAAUACACCAACACAUCCAAGGUAUGUCCUUCACUCAAUCCCCCCCAACCAAAAAAACCCCCACUGGAUUGGCCUAUAUCUAUUUUUCACUCCCCCCCUUUUGGCCUGAAUGGUAUGCUCUCCUCUUUUCCCUUUACUCUUCGCACUUGCCCUGAGGGGAAGGACUGUGUUUACAGCUGACAUGGGAGCCCAGAGUGUGGAGAAGAGCAGGAAGAGAGAGAGAGAGCCAGCUAACAAGGCUGUUCUUCUUAAAGGGGCUUCCCUCCCUCCUCUCACACACAGGAACACAUAGACCUCCAAUGAGAAAGGGGGGGGGGGGGGAGAGGGAGGAUUAGAAAGAGCUGUUCUUCCCCUGACUGUCAGUCAGAAUGGUAGGCCCCACCCCCUUUAGGUCCCACCCCCUUGUCUCAUAGCAAGCUCCUCAGUCACAAUGGCACCAGAGGACAAAGUUCACUUAGGCCUCUUCCACACUGCCUAUAAAAUACAGAUGAUCUGAUUUGAACUUAUAUAGCAGUGUAAACUUAAAGCCUUUCCACACAGCUAUAUAGCCCAGAAUGCUAAGGCAAAUAAUCUACAAUAUCUGCUUUAAACUGGAUUAUCUUGAGUCCACACUGCCAUACAAUCCAGUUCAGUGUGGAUUUUAUACAGCUGUGUAGAAGGGGUCUCAUAUAAUAUAAGAUUAUAAAUAUAAUAUGUAACACAGAACAAUGUAAUCUCUAAAACCAGGACAGUAAAUAAAGAACAACAUUCUGAAAACAGGGGAAUUCCGGAGAGGAAACAAUCAGGGCCAGCUAACACCUCCCAUUAAAGGAUUCCCCCAGGCAGGAAGCAGCCAGGCUAUGAAGCAUUCAAUCUUGCCUUUAACAGACAAAGAGUUCUUUCUCCCACGCUGGACAUUAUUCCACAGGUAUAUAAGCCACACUUGCCUGGCUGCUUCCUACCUAGGGAAAUCCAUUGAAAAUGAACAAAGCCUGGCUCCCAGCAGUAAAAAAAACCCUCUAAAACCAGGGCAGUAAAUAAAGAACAAUACUCUGAAAACAAAAAAACGCAACUGGGGGAGUUUGAAAUGAGUGACUCACCAUAGUGGGAUUUCAAGUUUACCCUACAACCAUAGACCACACUGAACCCCAGCAGUGCUGCAUCUAGAUCAAACUUCUCAAUAUAAUAGACUAAGUACGGAUGGAGUUUGUAGGUGUUAACCAGGCGUGAUGUGAAUUGCAGUUCACACACAACCUUAUGCAUACUGUACAUAUAUACAAGCAUAUAACAUAUUAAAUACCGCCACUGCCUCAUUACUUCCCCCCCCCCCCCAAAUCAGCGGACUACACCACAGCUACGCGUGGCCAGGAACAGCUAGUUCUAUUAUAAUCUACAUACAUAACACAAGGUUUACAAUAAUUGCAUUGUAAUACCUGUCUGAUUGGCAAAUAUAUAACAAUAUCAGAAUCAAUCCAAAAGAUAGAUGGUGUGGAUACUGAUAGUUUGCUGAUGUCUGUUAUUCUUGCUUCCUAGCUUUUAAAAAUACAUGAAAAUGAUGGUUUAAGCAACGAGUAGUAGUUACCAAAACACAGUAUGACCCCUGUAUCCAUGGGAGUACAUUCCUGUAUCCACAGGGAUACAUUCCCAGACCCUGCAUGGAUAUGUGAAACCACAGAUAAAGAGGAGCCAUAGUGAAAUGAAGACUUUGUGUCCCAAGAAUACCAAAGAGUCAUGCUGAAAGACCUAGAAAAUGCCUAGUAGGGACAUAGUUUGUUAGAAGUGAACAAAUGAAGCUGCAGAUACUGGUCCUGAGGAUACAGGGAGUGUAGUGUCGGCUGGUAAGCUGUCAGUUAACCGGCACCUUUGGGGAUUAGUUGCUGCUAGAUAAAUGUAAUUUCUGCCUGUUGAGGGAUAAUAUUAAAAAACAGGUCUAUAACUACAUCCUGUACUACACCACACCAUGAACCUAAUUUGAAAUACUGAAAUGCAGUAAUUAAAUGCAAAUUCAACACACUUAACACAGGGCAGUUUUAUUGUACAGGCAGUUCCCAAAUUACAAAUAAGAUGGGUUCUAUGGGUUUGCUCUCAAGUUAAAUUUGUAUGCAAAUCAGAACAGAUAUUUUUAAGUCUAACUUGAGCCAUACAUACAUACAUACAUACAUACAUACACACACACACACACACACACACACACACACACGAUAGCAUAGGGAAGGGUUAACACCCCUGUGGUAUUUGUUUUGCUGUCUGUGCCCUGUUCAGAAGUGUUCAGGUUUCUGUACCUGUGAGAAUUGGAUUUUGAAAAACAAGGAUUGGUGAGAAAGCUUCAGUGGAGACACCUCCCCCCCCAAUAAUGUCUUUCAGGAGUGAAUUUCUCUUCUGAGGGGCAGAUUUCUCUCACUUCCUGUUGUUUACCACUGUUCUUAACUAGAAGUUGUUUGCAAGUCAGAUGUUUGUAACUCGGGGAAUGCCUGUGUAAGGCUAACUUUUAAAUUCACAUUCUGUUUACUGUGUUUUAAUUUUUUGUUCCAUAUAUUUUAAUAUGUGUAUUUUAUAGAAAUAUGUUUUUAAGGAGUGAAUUUCCCUUCCGUGGGGUAGAUUUCUCUCACUUCUUGUUGUCUUACUCUUAUUCUUAACUAGGAGCUGCUUGUAAGUCGGAUGUUUGUAUAUAGGGACUGCCUGUAUUAUAAAAACAGAUUUUACUAUCUGAUAAAAACUGAUUUCAAUUUUUAUUACUAAAAUUUGAUUUAUCUAAAGUAUUGUGUAUCUUCAACAUUUAGCACAGUGGUUCUCAACCUGUGGGUCCCCAGGUGUUUUGGCCUACAACUCCCAGAAAUCCCAGUUUACCAGCUGUUAGGAUUUCUGGAAAUUGAAGGCCAAAAACAUCUGGGGACUCCAGGUUGAGAACCACUGAUUGAGCGGAAUACUUGAGAAUUCUGGCAGCUUGAGUUCUGGUUAACUGAAGCCUCUUCCACACAGCUGUAUAAAAUUCACUGGAUUAUAUUGUAGUUUGGACUCAGAUAACAUAGGCCCCUUCUACAUAGCUGAUUAAAAUCCCAAAUUUUGUUUUGAACUGGAAUAUAUGGCAGUGUGGAUUCAGAUAUCCCAUUUCAAAGCAAAUAUUGUGGAUUAUCUGUCAUGGUAUUCUAGGUCAUGUGGCUGUGUCGAAGGCCGUGAGGCCCCUUCUACACAACCAUAUAAAACCCAGCUAAUCUGCUUUGAACUAGAUUAUAUGGCACUGUAGACUCAUAUGAUCCAGUUUAAAAUAGAUAAUGUGAAUUAUGUGCUUGAAUCAUCUUGUAUGGCAGUGUAGAAGGGGCCUGAGAGUCUACUGUUGUUACUCAGCCAUUCGCUCCAGGAGUAUACUAUUGAAGUGGCCCUAGACUUAGUGCUGACCCUGGAGGCCCAGGUGUCGAUGGUGGACGGGAGGGCCUUUGCACAGUCAAAGCUUGUGUGCCAGCUGCACCUGUACCUUGAGAAACCCGAUCCAGCUAUGAGCGGUACAUGCCUUGGUUACAUCCUGUUUAGACUACUGCAACGCGCUCUAUGUGGGGCUGCCUCAGAAGAGUGUUCGGAAGCUCCAGCUGGCUCAAGGUCAGCAGCCAUAUUGCUUACAGGGGCUGGUUACAAAGUACACCUUGUAAAUGAAAUGAGUAGGCCAAUCAGGGAAAUCUGCUGAAUGGUUUGGGUUGAAAACUUAGUUGCCUCUUCUUAUCCACAGAAAAUACAUAUCCCCCGCUUCUAGGUGCCACAUGGAAGGGCUCCGCUCAGGGGGAGGGAGGAGGAAGAGAAGUAGCAACAAGCAGCUUGUUGUCGUGCCUUUCGUGGGUCAGUUUUUUAAGCAUGUGGACAAUUUCAAUAGAAAGGAGGAAACCAUGAAAAUGUACAAAAUCUGGCUACAAGUAUUUAAAAAACUCUAAAAUCAGGACAGUAAAUAAAGAACAAUACUCUGAAAACAGGGGAAACAAUCAGGGCCAGCUAACACCACCCAACAAAGGAUUCCACUAGUCAAGAAUCAGCCAGGUCUUGAAGCUGCAAGGCUUUUCAAUGCUAAUCAAGGUCAUUAACUGCAACAUUUACACUUGCCUCCAACAGGCAAGAGUUCUUCCUCCCAUCCUGGACCUUCUUCCACAGAUAUAUACCUCUCUUGCCUAGUUUCCAGCAGAUCUACAACCUCUGAGGAUGCCUGCCAUAGAUGAAGGCAAAAUAUCAGAAGAGAUUGCUUCUGGAACAAGGCCAUACAGCCUGGAAAACUCACAGCAACCUAGUGAUUCCGGGCAUGAAAGCCUUCUGACAACAAAUCAAAAUUUGGUUGAGAUAGUGCAGUUCUAGAGAGACUCUGUUUGCUUCUCAUAAAUCUCCAUCACACUAGAGUUUGGAUCCAAUUUAAAUCCACUUUAGAGUGAGGCCUUUAAACAGCUCAGCCAGACAGGUACUGGGCCUCACCAAACUAUAAACCCCAUAAUUCUGCAGAAACCAGAUUUAAAGUGGAUCCAUGCUCUGGUGUGACGAGGAAGAUAGACUUGGAAGGGGUUUUUGGUAACCAGUUAAAAUUCGUGAGUAAACCAGCUGCCCCAUCACAUUAAGAGCAUGGAUCUACUUUGAAUCCGGUUUCUGCCUCCUGAAAAAUUCUGGGGUUUGUAGUUUGAGGAGGCCCAGGAACUGUCUGGCUGAGCUGUUUAAAGCCCCCUACCUAAGGUGGAUUUAAAGUGGAUCCAAACUAGUAUGAUGAGGUCCCAGUUUUUGUUUUUUGAACCUGAAAGAUUUCGGGGGUAGUUUGAAGGCCUAAACCAACCCCUUGGCUACGGGCUUGCUUUCUCCUCCUUGUUAGAGCUCUCCCAUUGAAGUUUAGACACAACUCUUGGGUUAACUUAGUGCGUCAGCGAACACAAUGAAGGCCCCCGCCUCGCUGAAAGUUUGUUUUCAGUGUGAAGAGUUGGCGAGGCGGCGCAUUAGUCCUCAUCGUUGUUCUUCCCUUCUGCCUUGGCAUAAGGGAGUGAACAUGGGAGGCUUCUCCAAAGAAGCAGUUGGGAGUUAAAGAGAGUUCUGUCAAGGAGGAAAGAAAAGACGGAGAGGCUAAGGAGAAGCUUCUCCUCCUCAACAAGAGCUCAAGGCUGGGCCUGCCCUCCCUCCCGCCUUCCCUUGCACUCUUUCCCUCACAAAUCCCUGGAAUGAGGCCGCCGCCCAGAGGAUGGCGGAGAGGCCUCAAGCGUCGAGCCCUUUUGGCCUCGUUCCCUUUGAGUGGUGGGAUGACCAGCAGGCAAGAGGCCUCUUUCCUCUCACUCUGCGGCCCAAUAGUGACGCUCCCAAAGUUUUGACGACGAAAUGGAGAAGCGGAGGAGUGAGGAAAAGUUAAAGAGCUGGGCAUGUUUAGCCUGCAGAAGAGAAGGCUGAGAGGAGACAUGAUGAGGGCCACGUAAAAUAUGUGAAGGGAAGUCAUAGGGAGGAGGAAGCAAGCUUGUUUUCUGCUGCCCAGGAAGCUAGGAUGUGGAACAAUGCGUUCAAACUACUGGAAAGGAAAUUUCACAUGAACACGAGGAAGAACUUCCUAACUGUGAGAGCUGUUCAGCAGUGGAACUCUUUGCCCCGGAGUGUGGUGGAAGCUUCUUCUUUGGAGGUUUUUAAACAGAGGCUGGAUGGCCAUCUGUUAGGGGUGCUUUGAAUGUGAUUUUCUUGCUUUUUGGCUGGAGGUUGGACUGGAUGGCACAAGGUCUUCCAGUUUUAUGAUUCUAUUCUAGUCUUGAGCCAUGGCAGAUCAAGCAGUGUCAAACUGUGCUAGUUCAAGAGUGUAGACGCAGCCUAUGUUGCUGUCAGAUAAUUUUUUUUGUUCCAAGUAUAAUCCAUAUGUUUUUAUUAUGUAUUUCUUUGUUUUGCUUACAUAGUAAACUACUUUUAUUCAAUGUACAGUUAGCCCUCCAUAUACACAGAUUCUGUAUCCACAGAUUCAUCCAUCUUCUGCUUGAAAAUAUUUUGUUACAAAUCCAAAAAGCAAACUUUGAUUUUGCCAUUUUAUAUAUACUAUGCCAUUGUAUGUUAUGGGACUUGAGCCUUCACAGAUUUUGGUAUCUACUGGGGAUCACUGGUUGUAUAUGACUCUUGUCAUCCUCAGAGCAAUCUUGUGAGGGAUCUUGAAUUGAGGGCUCUUCCACACAGCUGUAUAAAAUCCCACAUUUUCUGCUUUGAACUGGAAUAUAUGGUAGGGUAGAUUCAGAUAUCUUAGUUCAAAGCAGAUAUUGUGGGAUUUUCCACCUUGAUAUUCUGGGUUAUAUGGCUGUGUAGAAGGGUCCUGAGAGAAAGUGCCAAAUUCAGGGUUAUCUGGUAUGAUGACACUAUAUACAUUGGUGAUGAUGAUAAUUUUAUAUCUCAAUAAUAAUAAUAUUAAUAAUAUGCAUGAAUGUAUAUAUGUAUGUAUGACCCAUCUUUCCUUAUGGCUAAAGGUGGGGCACAUCAUAGUUAAAAAUACUUCAUAAUACUAAAAUACAUUCCAUGAAAAGCAUGUAUUAAAACAUUUUUCUAUAAAAUACAAAUAUUAAAAUAUAUGAAACAAAAAUUUAAACACAAUAAAUAAAAUGCUAAUUUAAAAGUAAGGCUUAUUCAGGCAGUCUCUGAGUUACAAACAUCUGGCUUAGAAACGACUCGUAGUUAAGAACGGGGGAGAGACAACAUGAAAUGAGAGAAAUCUACUCCUAGGAAGGGAAGUUCACUCUUGAAAGAGUUAUCAUGGGGAAAGGGGUUCUCCACUGAAGCUUUAUCAUUGAUCCUUGUUUCCAUAAGCCAAAAUGUUCAAAAUCCAAUUGUCACACAGGGACUGAAAGUGAGAUGAAAUCUUAUGAACAGUUGCACAGACAUCAAAAGAAAUGUUACAGGGUUGUUGAUCCUUCCCUAUGCUAUUCAAAGCUAAAAUAUAAAUAUUUUUGGCUGGAAUCACACUUUAAACAUUUACCUGUUCUGACUUACAACCAAAUUCAACUCAAGAACAAACCUACCGAAUCUAUUUUGUUCAUAACUUGGGAACUGCCUAUAUCUUGAUCUCUCAGCACUCUUUAUCGCUUUGCCCAAUGUUUUGUAAAAGACCGUUUCAUCAUUCGGGCCAGGUGAGCCAAAUGUGGGACAGCAUUCUAUAAUGGUGAUGUCAUACCUCAAAAGACCCACUUGCUAUAUCUCUACAUGAGGAGGACACAGGUAAGUGCUUCUAAAAUUGAUUUAAGUAUACCUAGCUCUCUGUAUCUAAGGCCCUUUCUAUACUGCCAUAUAAUCCAGGUUAUCAAAGCAGAUAAUCCACAUUAUCUGCUUUGAACUGGAUUAUAUGAGUCUACACAGUCAUAUAAUCCAGUUCAAAGGAAGUAAUCUGGAUUUUAUAUGGCAGUCUAGAAGGGGCCUUAGGAUUCUGCUUUCACAGAUUACACCAUUCACGACUUGAAAAUAUUCCUGUAAUGAAAAAUUAAUAAAAGCAAAAUCUUACUUUUCCAUUUUAUAUAAGGGAUAUCAUUUUACCAUGUCACUGUAUAUCAUAAAAUCAUAAAGAGUUGGAAAAUACCAGAAAGGGACUGUCCCUGCCACAUCUGUACAGUUGGAGGGUAUGUAGUGUAAUCUUAUUUCAGCAUAGGAGAUGUGACAUUAUCCUCUAUUGAGUGUGACAGGGCUAGGGUGCAUAGCAGGCCGCAUGGUGCAUAGAGCUCCAACUCACAGCUCCAUCUGUCACCUUGUCUGCUGACCACUCUGAUUAAUGUUUUAAUGCAACAGCAAGUGGAGGAGUUUGUCAGCCUGGCCUGGCUGUCUCUCUGCUUGUGCACUCAGGGGGAAGGAGGGGUAGUUCAACAGUGCUACCUGAGAGAGCUAAGUAGCAAAGACAAGAAACAAGUGAGCAAGACAUCCAGAUCCAUUGGGGUUUGUUAUUACCAACUUUAGUCAAGUAGAUCUGAGAGCCCUCCAAGUCAGACGGUCAUUCAGGUUUUGUAGACACAAAGAUGCCAUGGCUUUCUUGAAUGGGUCUAUCCACCUGGAAUGCAGUCUUCCUUUUUUCACACUACCUGUUGCCUUCCCAAACAUUGCACACCUCAACCAAAAGAAAAUAUCAAUGUCUUGGGUUUAAGGUUAUUUGGAGCGCUGAUUCACACAAUUGCAUUGGAUAGACUGCAUCAGCUCAAGUUUCUUACGAUCUCAUCAGAUAGGCUGAUUUGCCCAUCAUAGGCUGCUUCACCUACAUUUAUGCCACUGAGCCCUUCACACGACAUAUAGGGACUUCCGACUGGGCUCCAUGCCGAAAAGGUAGGUGAAGCAGUGCCGGCUGCUGCUGUGGCAACAUGGGAGCCUUCCCUUCAAUGGGUGGAAGUUGGGCGGCAAUGCUCCCCCACAUGGCAUGCGGGAGAAGGUAUGGCGGGUGAUGCAGGAGGUGGAGCGGCAGCUUCUCCACGCCCCCUGCCGGGAGCCCAUGUAUUCCCCCUGAUGCGCCGUGAAUUCAUGGGCCUGUAUGAUAAGGUCUUUAGAUAUGGUUAUGAUUUCCUGUCUGGUGUAUGUUGUGUAUCUCAAAAACUAGAGUUGAUAGGGGAAAACCAGUGUCAUUUUUGGAAUCAUCAGGCCAAAUAUACGCAGAAACAGGUUUAACAUUCAACACCAAAAUAUGUGUUGGCCAGUGUAAAUAUCCCUCAGUUUUUUUAAUAUUCCCUCCACCAUGACAUUAUGGCCACCACUUCAAUACAGAAUGCUGUGUUUGUUUAUUUAUUUAUUUAUUUAUAGUAUUUAUAUUCUGCCCUUCUCACCCCAAGGGGACUCAGGGCGGAUCACAAUGUACACAUACAAGGCAAACAUUCAAUGCCAUAUGAACAUAGAGACAGAGACAGGCACAGAUGCGAUUUAACCUCCUCCAGCUUCCAGCUUCCUGAGGGUAUGCUCGAUUCCAGACACAGGGGGAGCAGCUGUUUCACUGUGAUGCCAACUUCCUCAUUCCAAACGCUGCUGGAUGAUUUUUAUGGUGUUGUAAAUUAGUUAAAUUAGCCUCCCCACAUAGUGGUACCUAAAUUUCCUACUUGAUAGAUGCAACUAUCUUUCGGGUUGCUUAGGUCAAUAAUGAGCAGGGCUAUUUUUUAUUUUAAUGGUUGGGUGCUCACUCUGCCAUGGGCUGGCCUCGAACUCAUGACCUCUUGGUCAUAGUGAUUUAUUGCAGCUGGCUACUAACCAGCCUGCGCCACAGCCCGACCCUUAUCAAUAUCAAUCAUUAUCAGAUCCAUAUCAAUAAACCAUUUCUUGUUGUAUAUUCUUAAAUAGUUUCUGAUUUCUAAAGCAACCUAUCUUGACAAGAUUUGUUCAGAGGAGCUUUGCCAUUGCCUUUCUCUGAGGCGGAAUAUUAUUUGCCCAAGACCACCCAAUAGGUUUGCAUGAUCAAGCAAGGAUGUGAAUCAUAAUCUCCUGGAAUCAUAUAGUCAAACGCUCACACUGGCUCUCAAAACAGUUCAAACAGUUAUAAUUACUAUCCUUUUUUGUGUGUAAAUCUUAUGCCUCUUAAUUGCUUAUUUCAUGCCAAGCCACACCUCUCAAAUAUUGGUUCUAGGAAGAUACAGCCCCCCUCCAACACCCAGCUUGGCUGUGAUUGCGGUCAAGCUUAAAAGGAAGAGGAAGCCUGAGGGAAGUGGUAGAUGAUGUCACUGUCCCAGCCCUUGCCUCAAACCCUAUGACCUUUAGCUGCAUUACACCAAUGUCUCAAGCACCUUUCUGUAGUGUGCAUGGCAGAGGAAAGGCCCGGAGUCAUAAUACUGAAACAUGCACUAUCACUGCAGAGAACAGAGCAGUGUCCUAACUCCAAUCCCAAUAUCUCUAUGAUGAAUAUAGAUGUCUGCAAACAGGUUGUUUGUUGUUAACUGUUGUCAAGUCAAUUUGGAUUAUGACAAUCCCAUGAAU